rnacentral:tRNA from 2 species
GUCCCCGUAGCUCAGCUGGAUAGAGCAAUCCCCUUCUAAGGGAUCGGUCGGGCGUUCGAAUCGCUCCGGGGACGCCA